UGAAUACGAGACGCUACGGCGUUGAAGCAGUCUAUGUCAUACUUCCAAGAAAAGCUCGCAAUGUCUUAAACAAAUAAUGCCUGUACCAUAACCGACACAGGUGGGUAGGUAGAGUAUACUAAGGGGCGCGAGAUAACUCUCUCUAAGGAACUCGGCAAAAUGACUCCGUAACUUCGGGAGAAGGAGUGCCUUAUUUAUAAGGUUGCAAUAACAAGAUCCAAGCAACUGUUUAUCAAAAACACAGGUCUCCGCUAAGUCGUAAGACGAUGUAUGGGGGCUGACGCCUGCCCAGUGCCAGAAGGUUAAAGAAGUUGGUUAGCAUUAGCGAAGCUGAUGACUGAAGCCCUGGUGAACGGCGGCCGUAACGAUAACGGUCCUAAGGUAGCGAAAUUCCUUGUCGGGUAAGUUCCGACCCGCACGAAAGGCGUAAUGAUUUGGAUACUGUCUCGGAGAGGGACUCGGUGAAAUAGACUUGUCUGUGAAGAUGCGGACUACCUGCACCUGGACAGAAAGACCCUAUGAAGCUUUACUGUAACUUGAAAUUGAAAUUGGACUUUAUUCGCGCAGUAUAGGUGGGAGGCUUUGAGAAUAUUCUUGCGGGAAUAUUUGAGCCAUCAGUGAGAUACCACCCUUGUAAUGUUAGAUUUCUAACUUUGUAUCAUGAUCUGGUCAAAGAACAGUUUCAGGCGGGCAGUUUGACUGGGGCGGUCGCCUCCCAAAUGGUAACGGAGGCGUACAAAGGUUUCCUCUGAACGGGUAGAAAUCGUAUCUAGAGUGUAAAGGCAUAAGGAAGCUUGACUGUGAGACCUACAAGUCGAGCAGGGACGAAAGUCGGUCUUAGUGAUCUGACGGUGCUGAGUGGAAAGGCCGUCACUCAACGGAUAAAAGUUACUCUAGGAUAACAGGCUGAUCUCCCCCAAGAGUUCACAUCGACGGGGAGGUUUGGCACCUCGAUGUCGGCUCAUCGCAUCCUGGGGCGGUAGUACGUCCCAAGGGUUGGGCUGUUCGCCCAUGAAAGCGGUACGCGAGCUGGGUUCAGAACGUCGUGAGACUGUUCGGUCCAUAUCCGGUGUAGGCGUUAGAAUAUUGAGAGGAGCCUUCUUUAGUACGAGAGGACCGAGAAGGACAUACCUCUGGUGUACCAGUUAUCGUGCCAACGGUAAACGCUGGGUAGCUAUGUAUGGAGAGGAUAACCGCUGAAAGCAUCUAAGUGGGAAGCCCACCUCAAGAUAAGUAUUCUC
rnacentral:rRNA from 1 species